GUAAUACAGGGUUCGUACGGGUCAUGGAAAACCUGGAAAGUCAUGGAAUUUUACUUUAUUGCUUUUAAGGCCUUGAAAGUCAUGGAAAAUUAUUUUUUCCAUUGGAAAGUCAUGGAAAGUCAUGGAAUAUCAAAAUUAUGGACAACUAUAGUAUUUUCUCACUAUACAAGUGAAUAAAUGGAGAUAUUUCAACCAUUUUCUUCUCGUAUUUUCUUUCAUUCGUAACAUACCGACUGAUUGUACUUGUGAAUGUGUUCACUAUGAUCGAUGGAUAAGCGCUGUGUACGUGGGUGUGUACGUGUACGAUACGAACUACGUGUGUAUGGUCAGUGUAUGGCGGUACGGUCCACAUCGUGCGCACAUGGCUAGCUUGCGAGCGAGCUCGCUAGCGCUAGCUCAGUUCAGCAAGCUAGCGCACGUGUACGUGUGCAGUGUGUGUGUGCAUAUGAUGAUGGUGCCAACGCGACAUGUGACACUCCAAGAACGAAUGUAAUGCCUCGAUUGCACUUUGGCUUUGCAUUAAAUUGCGACCACUUAGACUACUACAAUUUUUACACUUCUCCAAUAAAUGAGGAAAAAGUAAAUUAGUAAUAUUUGUUUUUUAAUUUUCAUUAUUUAAAUAAAAAAGGAACAAUACUGACGUGUCAACAAGGCAAAUUGGCAGCGCUAGCUCGUUGACGAUCUAUAUAUCGACGCGACGGCAUGUGUUUUGAAACUUUUGUGCAUGUGUUGAUUCUUCAUGAAACGGAGUUGUUUAUUUUCACAGACCUUGGAACUCGUCACGUGGAUAUUUUCACCAUUACAAAUUUUGUGGAAGUGAUAUUCAAAAUGCCUGGAAAUUGUCAUUUUAAGGAUGCUUGGUUAGAACACCCGGAUUACCGUGGCUGGAUUUUGAAAGAAAGUUCCGAUCUGGGGACUGCUAGAUGUGCUGUUUGUAUGUGUAAAUUCAGUGUCCGUAAUAUGGGCGAAGCAGCCGUCAAGAGCCACAAGAAGAGUGAAAAACACACAGCAAACCUCCAACAGCAACAACGUCAUUCUACUCUCUCACUCAAGAGCUUCUUCAAGGCAAAAGGUGCAGAAAGUUCAUCAGUAUCUAUCACGUCUACAGAUGCAACAACCAGUACUUGUGCGCCAUCAACCUCUAAAGUGACAACUCCCAUUCCUGUUGCUGCAAGAGAGGAAACUUUAAAAGCUGAAAUACUCUGGUGUCUGAAAGUGGUGGAGGAUCAUUUAUCAUUUCAUUCUUGCCAGCACAACAGUGAG